rnacentral:rRNA from 1 species
GACGAACGCUGGCGGCGUGCCUAAUACAUGCAAGUAGGACGCAGUUGCGAACGGGUGAGUAACGCGUAGGGAACUGCCUAUUAGAGGGGGAUAACUAUUGGAAACGAUAGCUAAUACCGCAUACUAGUAGAUGGACCUGCGUGGUAUUAGCCAGUAGGUAGGGUAAUGGCCUACCUAGGCAAUGAUACAUAGCCGACCGGGGAGGGUUAUCGGCCACACUGGGACUGAGACACGGCCCAGACUCCGACGGGAGGCAGCAGUAGGGAAUCUUCGGCAAUGGGGGGAACCCUGGCCGAGCAACGCCGCGUGAGUGAAGAAGGUUUUCGGAUCGGAAAGCUCUGUUGUUAAGGAAGCGGUACUUAACCAGAAAGGGACGGCUAACUACGUGCCAGCAGCCGCGGUAAUAC